rnacentral:rRNA from 1 species
CCUACGGGAGACAGCAGUGGGGAAUAUUGGGCAAUGGGCGCAAGCCUGACCCAGCAACGCCGCGUGAAGGAAGAAGGCUUUCGGGUUGGAAACUUCUUUUCGCAGGGACGAAGCAAGUGACGGUACCUGAGGGAUAAGCCACGGCUAACUACGGGCCAGCAGCCGCGGUAAUACGUAGGUGGCAAGAGUUAGCCGGAUUUACUGGGUGUAAAGGGCGUGUAGGCGGGGAAGCAAGUCAGAUGUGAAAACCACGGGCUCAACCUGUGGCCUGCAUUUGAAACUGUGUUUCUUGAGUACUGGAGAGGCAGACGGAAUUCGUAGUGUAGCGGUGAAAUGCGUAGAUAUUAGGAGGAACACCAGUGGCGAAGGCGGUAUGCUGGACAGACACUGACGCUGAGGCGCGAAAGCGUGGGGAGCAAACAGGAUUAGAUACCCCAGUAGUC